rnacentral:rRNA from 1 species
AUGGCCGCUGGCUCCAGCCGUGGUAAAACCAAUGGUGGCAAGACCGGCGCUGCGAGUGCACAACGGAAUGAGUUGCCACUGCAACUAUUGAGGAAUAUUACGGAUCAGUUCUCUGAGGAGCGAAGACUUCGCACUGGUGCAUUCGGAACAGUUUAUAAGCCGGACCCGCCGGACAGGCUGAGUUGGCAAAAAAACUGCCAUGUACGUGAUAAUUGGAACUUUUGGCGCAUAGCGUCAGAGUACGGGUCAUUAGGUCCAGAUUGCCUCGAGCAAAUAAAAGCAUGCAUCGACAUUGGACUAGAGUGUGUGGAGAUUGAUCGGCGCAAGAGACCAUCCAUAGAAAAAAUUAUGGACACGCUCAGCAGACUUUCGCAACGUGCAACACCACAUGGGAUGGGCAUCCGGAUGGUUGUGCAGCCGUCCCCCUUAAGCAUGCUUGAGAACAUCAUUGGAUUAAAUCUCAGUGCUGUCAAUGCUCUUGGAUACCUAAAAGGCUUAACAAGCAUUGUGGUCGGAUGUGACCAAGGAAUGGCACUGAUGGAAGUUAACGGGAUCUCCUUAGAUGCCGCUCUCUCGGUCAACUAUCUGAAGGGUCAUUUUUAUAGAACAACGAUCUCAAAGGUUGUGGUUGCCUGCUGA